GACGAACGCUGGCGGCGUGCUUAACACAUGCAAGUCGAGCGGAAAGGCCCUUUCGGGGGUACUCGAGCGGCGAACGGGUGAGUAACACGUGAGUAAUCUGCCCUUGGCUUCGGGAUAGCCACCGGAAACGGUGAUUAAUACCGGAUACGACACAUCCCUGCAUGGUGCGUGUGUGGAAAGUUUUUUCGGCCAGGGGUGUGCUCCCGGCCGAUCAGCUUGUUGGUGGGGUAAUGGCCUACCAAGGCUUCGAAGGGUAGCCGGCCUGAGAGGGUGACCGGCCACACUGGGGCUGAGACACGGCCCAGACUCCUACGGGAGGCAGCAGUGGGGAAUAUUGGACAAUGGGCGGAAGCCUGAUCCAGCAACGCCGCGUGAGGGAUGACGGCCUUCGGGUUGUAAACCUCUUUCAGCACAGACGAAGCGCAAGUGACGGUAUGUGCAGAAGAAGGACCGGCCAACUACGUGCCAGCCGCCGCCGUAAUAC
rnacentral:rRNA from 1 species